rnacentral:lncRNA from 1 species
GACAGAGCCCGCGGGAGCCGGCAGCGCUGCGGGUCAGCGGGCGCGGCGGAGCCGGCGGGCUCAGCAGCCUGGGUCGCCCGGCGUCGCGGAGCCUGGAGCUCCAGUGCGGGCAGCUGGCCGAGCCGCACGGCGGACAAAUGAAGAGAAAACAAUGUCUGCCAACCUAAAAUAUCUUUCCUUGGGAAUUUUGGUGUUUCAGACUACCAGUCUGGUUCUAACGAUGCGUUAUUCUAGGACUUUAAAAGAGGAGGGACCUCGUUAUCUGUCUUCUACAGCAGUGGUUGUGGCUGAAUUUUAUAAUGGCCUGCAUCUUUUUAGUCUACAAAGACAGUAAGUGUAGUGUGAGAACACUGAAUAGAGUACUGCAUGAUGAAAUUCUUAAUAAACCCAUGGAAACACUGAAGCUUGCUAUUCCAUCAGGGAUAUAUACUCUUCAGAACAACUUACUCUAUGUGGCACUGUCAAACCUGGAUGCAGCCACUUACCAGGUUACAUAUCAGUUGAAAAUACUUACAACAGCAUUGUUUUCUGUGUCUAUGCUGGGUAAAAAACUAGGCAUGUACCAGUGGCUCUCCCUAGUGAUUCUGAUGGCAGGAGUUGCUUUUGUACAGUGGCCUUCAGAUUCUCAAGAGCUGAAUUCUAAGGACCUUUCAACUGGCUCACAGUUUGUGGGCCUCAUGGCAGUUCUCAUAGCCUGUUUUUCAAGUGGCUUCGCCGGAGUUUAUUUUGAGAAAAUCUUAAAAGAAACAAAACAAUCAGUAUGGAUAAGAAACAUUCAACUUGGUUUCUUUGGGAGUAUAUUUGGAUUAAUGGGUGUGUACGUUUAUGAUGGAGAAUUGGUAUCAAAGAAUGGAUUUUUUCAAGGAUAUAAUCAACUGACAUGGAUAGUUGUUGUUCUACAGGCACUUGGAGGCCUUGUAAUAGCUGCUGUCAUCAAAUAUGCAGAUAACAUUUUAAAAGGAUUCGCGACCUCCUUAUCCAUAAUAUUGUCAACAAUCAUAUCUUAUUUUUGGUUGCAAGAUUUUGUGCCAACCAGUGUCUUUUUCCUUGGAGCCAUCCUUGUCAUAGCAGCUACUUUCUUGUACGGUUAUGAUCCCAAACCUGCAGGAAAUCCCACUAAAGCAUAGUCAUGUCCUAUCCCUAAUUGGAUUUCACAAUGGUGCCCUAGGAGCCUCAACAUUAAUCUUGCCCAGAGGACUUCUGCAGAUUCUAUGAAGAAAUCAUCAUGCUAAAUCUGAUCACUCUGUUGAGAUGGUUUGAAAAUGUGUAGCCUUCAGGAUGAAAUGUGUAUAUCAUCUGCAACCCAAGCUUGGAAGUGUGUCCAGGAAGUCGGGUUAGAGGGGAUACUGGGAGGAGGCCUUAAGUCUGAGCUCGUAAUGACCUCAGCCCUUUAGUUGCUGCAGAACGGUCCAUUGCAGCCUUUGCAAGAGCACACACAUGCAAAUAAAUACCAAGGUUUGCAAGGUAGAUCUGCCUACACUUAUCACCUGUUCUUAACCUUACUCUUUCUGUACAGAGAUAUCAAGUUACAUGAACUAUUUAAAAUGGAAAUUUAUAAUCAUCUAUAAAGCUGUGAACAAUUAUAAUUUAAAACCAUUUUCAUGUAUCUGGGAUUUUUAUAUUUAUACAGAAGAUUACUAAAGAAAGGAUUGGUAAAUUUUAUUUGUUUAAUUCCAUAAGACUUGAUGAAGUAGUAAUCUGGGUUUGAAUCAUUUAAAUUUAAUGUAGAAAGAGUCUAUCCCUCUAUGUGUGUCUUUUGACCAUUUACUACUUUGGCUGAAGCAGUUUGGUUCUUUCUACGCUAGAGUAGUCAGUGACUGGCUCUAAUGAGGUUUACCAUCAUUUCCCAGUUGUGCUUCUUUUCUCAUUAUUCUCAUUAUUAUCUUAAAUUGAAUCUGUGUGUGUGUUGCCAUUAAAACUUUUAAAUGAAUUUAAAGGGAUUAAA